AUAAGUCGUCGAGUUUUCAUUUGCCACACCACCUACAAUAUGCCACUAAAGAUCAGGUACUGAUGUGAACUUGAUCAGAGUAUGGUUUGGAGACCAAAUUCAGGCCCAAACCAUAGAGGUUUCUUGGUUUCUUUUAUCAUUAUUAUUAUUAGAAGAAGAUGAAAUAGUCGAGGGCUCGAGGCUAGCUUUCUUUUCAUUCUCCUAUUUGCAUCCUUUGUGUUUCGAAAUUGAAGAUUAGGGUAGAAUUAGAUGCAGCAAUGAGGUGUGAUCAAAAUCCAAUUGAGCCAAGCAAAAUACUGCUACUUUGGUCCUCAAAAUUUUUACUGAACUCACCGUCUUCCAAUUCGCGCACACUCUCUCUCUCACACACACAUUAAAAGAGAGAGAAACAAAGAAAGCAACUUCUAAUAACAGGAAUAGUAGGGAUAGCAAAGCAGUUUCAGAAUUUUGGCUGGUUCAAACUUCUAAUUUGACGGCUUUGUUCUCGGCAACAACUAGCUGCUGCUCCAAUUCGCUUGACUUUAGGUAGAACCUUUGAACUUUCUUCAUCUUGGCUUGUUGGGUUCAAGGCAACCUUUCCUGUCUUCCUCUGUUAACCUUAAUUACAGUAGUGCAUUAAGUAUGAACGACUGAUGAACUAUGGGUGUGUUUAGUUCACGCUAAAAUUAGAGGUUUUGUUGAAAUUGGAACUAUGUGAUGGAAAAGUUUGAAGUUUGUGUGUAUAGGAAAGUUUUGAUGAGAUGGAAAAAUUGAAAGUUUGAAGAAAAAGUUGGGAACUAAACAAGGGCUAUAUGAGCUUCUCAAUUAGAGUCCGAUCACGUGGAAUAAUGGGACACGCCCAGAGUUGGUUUUAGGGCAGACAACCUCGACCGUGAUUAGCAUACGAUCAAUUAAAUAUUAAUUGUUAAGAAUUUAAAAGAUGAAUUUAUUUGAUUUUUAAGCAAGUUCUGUAUAUAAAAUUUUCGUACAAAAUAUAUAUUUUAGUAGUUUAAAAAACCUGCUAACAAAAAUUGAGAAAGUAACCGGAUGCUGAUCCCCCACUUUAGAGCGUGCCUUUAGAGCAUCUUUAAUACAAGGUGCUAUAUAUUAGACCAUAAAAAACAUAGGUUAUGUCCAAGUUUAUAGUAGAAGGUAAUUUUUUUUAAGUCAGAGGAAGUAUAUCUUUUUUGGGUUGCGAUUUUUACUUGUCUCUUGUCUGCGUGUGCUACGCAUUGCCAUGUCAGUUGCAGCCACAAAAAUAACUGCCGAAAAAGCCCCAUAUAGGUGAUCCAAUACAAGCAUCCUAAAUCUGAGCUUACACACGAGAAGGCUACAUUGUGCUUCUCAAAUAAGCUACAGAGAAUCGGGCUAUGCCCGAUUUACACUUGGACUGUUGCACACAGAGAUAUACUCUCUUUUUUUUAGAUUGUUUCUGCUAUCGUAAACUUUUUAUGUAAGUUUUAUUAUGUGUGAGUUCUGUAAUAAUUUGACUGAAGCAUUUCGAGUAGGGAUGUUUCGUUCCAUUAUCUAAAAAGAAAAUCCCAGUUAAGAGCCCAGAAUCUGGGGUAUACCAUUUUCUGGAGUUAUCUGGGCCUUUCGGUAUUUGGGCU
rnacentral:sRNA from 1 species